CGCCCAUGGCGGCAGCUACACAUGCAGUCGAGCGGCAGCGGGGAGUAGCUUGCUACUUUGCCGGCGAGCGGCGGACGGGUGAGUAAUGCUUGGGAACUUGCCUUUAGGAGGGGGAUAACCACGGGAAACUGUGGCUAAUACCGCAUAAUGUCUACGGACCAAAGCGGGGGCUCUUCGGACCUCGCACCUAAAGAUAGGCCCAAGUGAGAUUAGCUAGUUGGUGGGGUAAAGGCCCACCAAGGCGACGAUCUCUAGCUGUUCUGAGAGGAUGAUCAGCCACACUGGGACUGAGACACGGCCCAGACUCCUACGGGAGGCAGCAGUGGGGAAUAUUGCACAAUGGGGGAAACCCUGAUGCAGCCAUGCCGCGUGUGUGAAGAAGGCCUUCGGGUUGUAAAGCACUUUCAGUGGUGAGGAAGGCUUGUAGGUUAAUAGCCUGCAAGAUUGACGUUAGCCACAGAAGAAGCACCGGCUAACUCCGUGCCAGCAGCCGCGGUAAU
rnacentral:rRNA from 1 species